rnacentral:rRNA from 1 species
CCCUUAGAUGUUCGGAGCUGCACGCGCGCUACACUGAAGGAAGCAGCGUGUUAGAGCGCCUGGCUUGAAAGAGCUGGGUAAUCCGGUGAAUGUCCUUCGUGAUUGGGAUAGGGACUUGUAAUUAUUUCCCUUGAACGAGGAAUACCUAGUAAGCGCGAGUCAUCAGCUCGUGCUGAUUACGUCCCUGCCCUUUGUACACACCGCCCGUCGCUGCAACUGAUUGGGUGACCUGGUGAACAUCUUGGACCGGUCCACUCAAUUUCGAGAGGACUGGAAAAGGCCGUAAAUCAGGUACAUCUAGAAAUUGCAAAAGUCGUAACA